GCUUGGGUAGCUCAGUUGGCUAGAGCAUUCGCCUGAAGAGCGAAGGGUCGCCGGUUCGAGCCCGGCCCCAAGCACAA
rnacentral:tRNA from 1 species